ACACACGGCGGGUGCUAACGUCCGUCGUGAARAGGGAAACAACCCAGACCGYCRGCUAAGGUCCCAAAGUYMUGGUUAAGUGGGAAACGAUGUGGGAAGGCUUAGACAGCUAGGAGGUUGGCUUAGAAGCAGCCACCCUUUAAAGAAAGCGUAAUAGCUCACUAGUCGAGUCGGCCUGCGCGGAAGAUGUAACGGGGCUCAAACCAKGCACCGAAGCCGCGGAUUCACGCUAAGCGUGAGUGGUAGGGGAGCGUUCUGUAAGUCUGCGAAGGUGURUCGAGAGGYAUGCUGGAGAUAUCAGAAGUGCGAAUGCUGACGUAAGUAACGAUAAAGGGGGUGAAAAGCCUCCUCGCCGGAAGACCAAGGGUUCCUGUCCAACGUUAAUCGGGGCAGGGUGAGUCGACCCCUAAGGUGAGGCCGAAAGGCGUAAUCGAUGGGAAGCAGGUUAAUAUUCCUGCACGACUUGUAAUUGCGAUGGGGGGACGGAGAAGGCUAGGUGGGCCAGGCGACGGUUGUCCUGGUGAAAGUGCGUAGGUGGUGUUUCUAGGCAAAUCCGGAGACACAACACUGAGACACGAGACGAACGCACUACGGUGCGGAAGCCAUUGAUGCCCUGCUUCCAGGAAAAGCCUCUAAGCUUCAGAUUACAAGUCAUCGUACCCCAAACCGACACAGGUGGUCGGGUAGAGAAUACCAAGGCGCUUGAGAGAACUCGGGUGAAGGAACUAGGCAAAAUAGUACCGUAACUUCGGGAGAAGGUACGCUCUUGUUGGUGAAGUCCCUUGCGGAUGGAGCUGACGGGAGUCGCAGUGACCAGAUGGCUGGGACUGUUUAUCAAAAACACAGCACUCUGCAAACACGAAAGUGGACGUAUAGGG
rnacentral:rRNA from 1 species